UUGGAGAAAUUUGAUCCUGGCUCAGAUUGAACGCUGGCGGCAGGCUUAACACAUGCAAGUCGAGCGGUAGCACAGGGGAGCUUGCUCCCUGGGUGACGAGCGGCGGACGGGUGAGUAAUGUCUGGGAAACUGCCUGAUGGAGGGGGAUAACUACUGGAAACGGUAGCUAAUACCGCAUAACGUCGCAAGACCAAAGAGGGGGACCUUCGGGCCUCUUGCCAUCAGAUGUGCCCAGAUGGGAUUAGCUAGUAGGUGGGGUAAUGGCUCACCUAGGCGACGAUCCCUAGCUGGUCUGAGAGGAUGACCAGCCACACUGGAACUGAGACACGGUCCAGACUCCUACGGGAGGCAGCAGUGGGGAAUAUUGCACAAUGGGCGCAAGCCUGAUGCAGCCAUGCCGCGUGUGUGAAGAAGGCCUUCGGGUUGUAAAGCACUUUCAGCGAGGAGGAAGGUGGUGAGACUUAAUACGUCUCAUCAAUUGACGUUAUCGCGAAGAAGCACGGCACCU
rnacentral:rRNA from 1 species